rnacentral:misc_RNA from 1 species
GGGAAGGAAACAGAGAGAAUAAGCAGGGCAGCGGAAAUGUCGGAGCCGAAAGACCCGGCAAUCAAGUUAUUUGGGAAGACGAUUCCUUUGCCAGAGAUCGCUCAGGGAGGUACUAGUUCCACUACUAAUACUUGUGGUGGUGCUGGUAGUUUCGUUGUUGAUGAUGAUAGUCAAGAUCAGGACCGUCCAUCUUGCGCAAGCUCUUCUCUCGAAGAGAGCAAUACGAAGGCAGAUGGGGAAGAGAGAGAAACUGAUAAAGAUGCAGUGGGAGAAAAACCAACUGAGAGUAGCAAACAAGAAAAUGGAGCCCGAACUAUUACUUCAGAAGAGUCAUCAAAUCCGGAUGCAACCUCUGGGGUAAGUGAGAAUCAUAAGAUGCCUUGUGUUGAGAAAGAGAAUGAUGCAUUAAAAACUUCAAAGAUAGAGGAAGAGCAGAGCGAUACAAGUAAUUCACAAGAAAAGACCCCGAAAAAACCUGACAAAAUCCUUCCAUGCCC